GAUGAACGCUGGCGGCGUGCCUAAUACAUGCAAGUCGAGCGAACGGACGAGAAGCUUGCUUCUCUGAUGUUAGCGGCGGACGGGUGAGUAACACGUGGAUAACCUACCUAUAAGACUGGGAUAACUUCGGGAAACCGGAGCUAAUACCGGAUAAUAUUUUGAACCGCAUGGUUCAAAAGUGAAAGACGGUCUUGCUGUCACUUAUAGAUGGAUCCGCGCUGCAUUAGCUAGUUGGUAAGGUAACGGCUUACCAAGGCAACGAUGCAUAGCCGACCUGAGAGGGUGAUCGGCCACACUGGAACUGAGACACGGUCCAGACUCCUACGGGAGGCAGCAGUAGGGAAUCUUCCGCAAUGGGCGAAAGCCUGACGGAGCAACGCCGCGUGAGUGAUGAAGGUCUUCGGAUCGUAAAACUCUGUUAUUAGGGAAGAACAUAUGUGUAAGUAAAUGUGCACAUCUUGACGGUACCUAAUCAGAAAGCCACGGCUAACUACGUG
rnacentral:rRNA from 1 species